rnacentral:rRNA from 1 species
AUACGGAGGGUGCGAGCGUUGUUCGGAAUUAUUGGGCGUAAAGCGCGUGUAGGCGGUUUGAUAAGUCUGAUGUGAAAGCCCCGGGCUCAACCCGGGAAGUGCAUUGGAAACUGUCAGACUUGAAUACGGGAGAGGGAAGUGGAAUUCCUAGUGUAGGAGUGAAAUCCGUAGAUAUUAGGAGGAACACCGGUGGCGAAGGCGGCUGCCUGGACCGAUAUUGACGCUGAGACGCGAAAGCGUGGGGAGCAAACAGGACUAGAUACCCUGGUAGUCCACGCCGUAAACGAUGGAUGCUAGGUGUAGGGGGUAUCGACCCCUUCUGUGCCGGAGUCAACACAAUAAGCAUUCCGCCUGGGGAGUACGGCCGCAAGGUUGAA